CUCUAACUCAGUUGUUCCUCUUUUGUAAAUAAUGUACUGGAGUCACUUGGAUCCUCGAAUCGGCCAACCCUUACCUCUCCUACCCACCUCCUCCUUUUCCUGACAUUCCUCCCCAUGGAUGCAUUUUGUUGAGUAGGCACGGUCAGUGCUAUUCACGAACGUAUGAUUUGCUGGAAAUUCAGAGUGAAUGCAAACUGAAUUUUUAAAAUACAAC